CAAUAAGUGUUCAAUGGCACUUUAAAAUCCAUUACCCACCUUAUGUGCACUGUAAGGAGGAGGCAGGACUUUCUGCCUCUUUCAUUAUACAUACCCACAACCUUUUAUCUUGUCUAUUUUUUUGAGUAUAAAAACUCGAAUA
rnacentral:misc_RNA from 1 species